rnacentral:rRNA from 1 species
GACGAACGCUGGCGGCGUGCCUAAUACAUGCAAGUCGAACGCAGUGGGGACGGGUGAGUAACACGUGGGUAACCUCCCAUCAGAGGGGACAACUCUUGGAAACAGGUGCUAAACCGAUACUGAUGGAUGGACCCGCGGUGCAUUAGCUAGUUGGUAAGGUAACGGCUCACCAAGGCUACGCUGCAUCGCCGACCGUGGAGGCGGAUCGGCCUCCCGGGAACGGAGACACGGCCCAGACUCCUGCGGUAGGCAGCAGUGGGGAAUCUUCGGCAAUGGACGAAAGUCUGACCGAGCAACGCCGCGUGAGUGAAGGAGGUUUUCGGUUCGUAAAACUCUGUUGUUAGAGAAGCGGUAUCUAACCAGAAAGCCACGGCUAACUACGUGCCAGCAGCCGCGGUAAUUC